GGCAUUGAGUGUCAGCAUCAAGCCCUGGCUAGCUGACCGGCAACCCUCCUCCGCGGUGGGGUGCUCCAGGUGAAAGCCCGGCAGGGUCACCGACCCUGCAAGCGCGUGGC
rnacentral:ncRNA from 2 species